GCGGCGCGCAGCAUGGUGUGCCUGGAAGCUGGGGUUUGGGAGGUAGUUGGCGUGGGAUCUAGGUUGUCCGCGGCAGCCUUUCGCCUACGCCCCCUUCCCUGAAAAUAGGGAGAUGGCGCGGACUCGGUGGCCGUGUGAGGAGCACGGCUCGCGGGACCCCGGGUGAAGCAGGUCGGUGUGGAAGCCGAGCGCCGUUUGGGCUGUAGAUCUUCGCCAUGUGCCCAGGCGCACAACGGGGCAGAAAUGGAGCGGACAUCCAAGUCACAAGGUGAGUGCCUGAAGCUGACGGAUACUUCCUGAACAACACGCGGGAGCACAAAGUGGCUUAAGGAUGUCCUUGAUUUGGAAAUUUGAUCUUUAGAAGCAUGAGCCAUUUAAGUUUUGUGGGAAGCUGGUCAAAACUCCACAUAGGUGAAUGCACAUUUGUAACAAGGCUAUGAAUAAAUACUUUGAUACUAU